rnacentral:tRNA from 1 species
GGGAAUGUAGCUUAGUGGUAGAGUGCUUGCCUUGCAUGCAUGAGGCCCUGGGUUCAAUUCCUCAGCACCA